GACAAUUGUUAUUAUGGGUAGAGCAGGCAUGAAGCACUCAUUGUGCUAAACAAAAUAAUACCUACACAAUGAUUUAGACAUACAGGGAGGGCAUUUUCUGGACUAACAGUGAUUCUGGUUGCUCAAAAAGGGAGAUUUUGGUGCUGGAAAACUGACCAAGGCUUCCAGAAGCUUCAGCAAAAGAAAGAACUACUAAAGGAACUAUAAAAUCUAUUGAAAUAUCUCACAGAAGUUAUGAAUACAGAAGAUGGCUGUCAUAGAUCAAGAUAUAGGAAAACACUAACCUAGUAUGAUUAAUCAUCUUUAAUGUAUACACUUAGA